rnacentral:rRNA from 1 species
CAUCUUUUCUUGUUAGUUUUUGAAGUAUGGCCUGCCCACUGACUUAGAGUUGAAGGGCCGCGGUAUUUUGACCGUGCAAAGGUAGCAUAAUCAUUAGUUCUUUAAUUGUGAUCUGGUAUGAAUGGCUUGACGAGACAUAAGCUGUCUUAGAAGUAUUGAUUUAUUGAAUUUGGUUUUUGAGUUAAAAUUCUUAAAUGUUUUUAUGGGACGAGAAGACCCUAUAGAGUUUGACAAUUUUCCUAUUUAUUCGUUGUUUGUUUUAUUUACAUUGAGUGGGAGUGAAUUGUUUUGUUGGGGUGAUGGGAGGAAUAUUGUUUAACUCCUCUUUAUUUUUAUAUAUUUAUGUAUAUAUUUUUGAUCCAUUUAUUUUGAUUAAAAGAUUAAAUUACCUUA